ACGUUACCCGCAGAAGAAGCACCGGCUAACUCCGUGCCAGCAGCCGCGGUAAUACGGAGGGUGCAAGCGUUAAUCGGAAUUACUGGGCGUAAAGCGCACGCAGGCGGUCUGUCAAGUCGGAUGUGAAAUCCCCGGGCUCAACCUGGGAACUGCAUUCGAAACUGGCAGGCUUGAGUCUUGUAGAGGGGGGUAGAAUUCCAGGUGUAGCGGUGAAAUGCGUAGAGAUCUGGAGGAAUACCGGUGGCGAAGGCGGCCCCCUGGACAAAGACUGACGCUCAGGUGCGAAAGCAUGGGGAGCAAACAGGAUUAGAUACCCUGGUAGUCCACGCCGUAAACGAUGUCUACUUGGAGGUUGUGCCCUUGAGGCGUGGCUUCCGGAGCUAACGCGU
rnacentral:rRNA from 1 species